rnacentral:rRNA from 1 species
AAUCAACGCUGGCGGCGUGCCUAACACAUGCAAGUCGAACGCGAAAGUGGAGCAAUCCAUGAGUAGAGUGGCAAACGGGUGAGUAACGCGUGGGCGACCUACCUUCGAGUGGGGGAUAACCUUCCGAAAGGAGGGCUAAUACCGCACGACAUCCCGUGUUUGGAUACACGGACAUCAAAGCCGGGGAUCGUAAGACCUGGCGCUUGAAGAGGGGCCCGCGUCCGAUUAGCUAGUUGGGAGGUAACGGCUCACCAAGGCUCCGAUCGGUAUCCGGCCUGAGAGGGCGGACGGACACACUGGAACUGAGACACGGUCCAGACUCCUACGGGAGGCAGCAGUGGGGAAUUGUUCGCAAUGGGCGCAAGCCUGACGACGCAACGCCGCGCGGAGGAUGAAGACCUGGGUCG